UGCCUUUUUUUCCUGGAGGAGGAUUCGCUGUCACAAGAACGUGUGGAAGAGAAACCAAAGCACUUACAGAGUUAUGUAGUUUGAGGUAGAGAGGGCCAGGGUGCUGUCCUGUGAUCUCCAGCCCCUACAGCUUAUCACCUGAUGCAUAUUGAUGCGUGGGGAAGCAGGGGGAGCAGAAUGACAAUCACAUUGACCAGUUAAAUGAAAUACUACUGGACCAGCCAAGGGGCAGAUAGAGAGUUAAAGCACACAGAGGCAAAAUAAUCCUCAUCCUGCCCUCUCCUGGGCACAUACCUAGAGAACUUCAAUAGGUAGAGAUUUUGUGAAGGGACGAUUCGGUUGCAUCAAGUGGAAAGAAAACCCCGGGUUACAGCAGAAAUGUCAGGGUAUUUCCCUCCCAGAAUGGUCAGCUUGCUACAGCAAUAUAGAAACACAAAAGAAAUUCCCAGGAAAGGUAAUGCAAAUGGAGAAAUACAGCUAAACCCAUCUAAACAGAGUAGAAGCUGAUCUCUUAAAAUUCCACACCUUGUCUUUCUUUUGAAACAGUCACAUCAUUUUGUUCUUUGCAUUUUCAGCUCGAGCUCUCAGGAAAGAUAGAAGCUGGUAGGAGACAGACACUGAUAAAGGCUGUACUGGCAAAGUGUCAGGCUCCCUUCAGUUACUGAAAGGCCAAAUUAGAUCACCCUGAAGCUGCCUCUUCUCCAGGAUGAAAAAUCCCAGUUCUCUCAGCCUUUCUUCAUAGGAGAAAUUCUUCAUUCCUCUGAUCAUCUUGGUGGCCUUCUCUGGACUUAUGCCAACAGGUCAAUAUCCUUUCUGUGCUGGAUAAAAGUUCAUGUACUCUGAACCCAGAACUGGAUGCAGUGUUCUGUACUCAAAUGCAUGCAUGAAAAUGGGUGAGCUCCUAGUCUACCACACCACCACUUGCUGGUUUCGGUGAACUCUGAAUUUCUGCUGGCCACCAAAGCAUUAACAGGAGAUUUUUCUGUAACAGGGCUGGUAUCUUAAUCCUUUUGUGUUCUUUACUGAUGUUUAUACCCUUCCACCACCACCUGCCUUUCACCCACCAGUGAAUAAAUGUCAGGUCCUGAUUCUUAACACUUUGAUGUGGACAAAUGGAAAUAAAAUCACUACAAUCAA